GGAAUUGCUAGUAAUCGUAGGUCAGCAUACUACGGUGAAUACGUUCCCGGGCCUUGUACACACCGCCCGUCAAACCAUGAGAGUUGGCAACACCCGAAGUCGGUAGUCUAACCGCAAGGAGGACGCCGCCGAAGGUGGGGUCGAUGAUUAGGGUUAAGUCGUAACAAGGUAUC
rnacentral:rRNA from 1 species